rnacentral:lncRNA from 1 species
GUUAAUAAAUUUAUUUUGAAAUAAUUUUACAUUUAGAGAAGAGUUGGGAAGAUAAUACAGAGAGCUCCUUUAUACUCUUUACCUAGCUACCCCUAAUGUUAACAUCUUACACAACCAGCUACAUUUAACAAAACUAAGAAAUCAACAUUGGUAUCAUACUAUGAACUAAACUACAGACUUCUUUAAGAUUUCAUCGGUUUUUCCCACAGUAGGCUACUGGUGGCUAUGAUUUUCCAAUAGGAAUACCUCUGAGCCACAAGUUGAAAGGAAGCACCUGUUUGAUAAUGUCAAAAAUGAGCCUCAGGUGUCAGUAUUCAACCAUCAGGUCAGGAAGCCAGUUUAUAUAAAGAGAGUAGCCAAGCAUCAUUUAAGAUGUCUGGAUGUCGUCAAGGUGUGUCAGAAGUAAGAGGUGAAUACAAGCCUCUUGGAGCUAUUAACUCUACUUGAAGCAGGAUUCCAAGGAGACAACACCGAGAGUGGCAGCACAGCGUAGCAGUUCAGAACCACUGAUGGAUGCUGGAGCUACAUGGCUGGCUUCAAAUCACAGCUGGAUAUUGCUUACUGGAUGUGUGAUGUUGGGCAGCAACUUGACUCAUUUAAUCUUCACAACAGCCCUAUGAAAAGUCAACAUAGUGGUUUCUCUUGGACGGGGAGUGACUGAAAGAGAUCAUGAGGGGGAAGCUUCUGGUGUGCUGGGUAAAUACCAAGGAGUAAGAUUGCUGGAUCAUAUGGUUUGUGUAUUCAUCACCACAGUGAGGAAACCGAUCAGCUCCAUCACCACGAGGAUCCCUGGAAACAAUUCCUCCAUAACAGAAGGCAGCAUCAGCCACAGCCUAUCCUGAAGAGCACUAAUGUCAAGAGGAAGAAGAACAGUGCAAAGGAAAGGAUGCUGUAGAGGCUUUGAGAGCAGUCUGGUUUUCAAUAUAUGCCUGUUACGGGUUGAAUUGUGUCCCUCCCAAAUUCAUACGUUGAAGUCCCAGCUCCUAGUACCUCAGAAUGUGACCUUAUUUGGAGAUUUGGACGAGACUGUGAACUGGAUAACAACUUACCCAUCUGCAGUAGUGUGCCCUGCUGCUGUUUUCCAAUGGCAACUGAGACAUCCCUUUGAUAAUAUAGCUCCUGGAUCUUUUUCUUAUUCUAACUCUUCUAGCUAUUCAAGAAAUUAAUCAGUUAAAGUUCAAAGGAUUUCCCAAGUUGAAGACCCUUAAGCUAGAAAAAGGCAAUAAGCCCAAGCAACUACUGUGAGACUUGACAUGUGUCCCUCAGCAAACUUUACAUUACACAGGACUAUUUAUUGCCUUAAACAAUGA